ensembl:lncRNA
CCGCCUUGGGCACAGGCCGCGAGCAGCCGUGGCGCAGCUGCUUCUUCCCCCUUCCCCCACGCCCUCCGGAGAAGCCCUGGUAGCCGCAGUGCUCAGGCGACCCCAGGCGGAGACCGGAACCCCGGACGGCUGCUUUGCGGGUGAAAGCCCGCGGGCACGCCAGCGGACGACCCCCCACCCGCCCGCCCCGCGUGGGCCGCGGGCGCCGCGCCUCUGGGCUCCGGGUGGGGCCAUCCGGCCGGCCCAGUCACGCCACCUCCGUGGGCCGCACCUCCUAAUGGGACGCUCGGGCUGAGCUGAGCCUUAAGGCGGCGAGACCCAAGCCCGAGUCUGGGGGCAGCCAGAACCCGCCCGGGGUCUCUGGGGUUUGCAGCUCAGGCCAUCUGGUCAGCUGGCGCGCCCAGGGCCUCCAGCUUCGCCCCAGGGGCGUCAGGGCACGAGCGAGGCCGGCGCUUGUUCAGGCUGCGGCCCUGCUGAGCCGGGACAAAGCACGGCCUCCUCAGGGGCCUCGUCUCUGCCUUUACUGUUGGGUUUAUGAAGACCUGGUUUGAAUUGAAAACCCCAAGGGAUGGAACCACAUCAACACUUGGAACACCUCAAGUGAAAAUAAUCGUCACUGAAGGCCAAGUUGCAGUUGAAAACACCCAUGACAAGUGUGGCAGAAAAGGACAGACUCCAAGGAGGGGCUCUGGAAAGGUCACACUUCCGUAUCCCUGCAGGAUUACUUUGCUUGGAGGCUGGCUUUGCUCAAGUCUUGGAAAAGGCAAAAGAAAAAAAAAAAAACUUGAGAGCAGAAAUCCAUGGCAACAAGCAACUUCUGUUUAAGAAUUACAUCCUAGGGAAAGUAAAUGUCUGGCUGCUAUAGAACAGAAAUGCACGUGAAGUCAUACGUAUCCAUUUAUCUUCCAAUUGAGCAAAAGAAAAUUCCUACCUGUUUUAUCUAUUCAUGAGAGAUAUAGUCUUAUAUUUUUGUUUGACAAGACAUAUGCUGUAUUGUUUCAGGAGUUUUGAAUAAAGAUUGUAACAUACCACUCUGAUUGCUGACCUAGAUUGCAAGCUGGCUUUCUAUAGCCUGGAUCACCAAGAAGAAAGGGGCAUAGGAUGAAAGGGGUGUUCAUAG